AACUGCGGUGGGAGGGGGCGGCCUUGAGACGUCGCAAUAAGACUCGAGCCGCGCUAGAGCCCGGCCAGUGUUUGGGUUCGGCUGGGUUUGGAAGAGGCUAGAGAGAAAAGCGGUAGCGAGAGGCGACCCAACUCAGAAGGGCCCCUAUCUUUGCUGACGACAUGGCGCUGCUGCUGCCGCUGCUGGUGGUGGUGCUGGUGCUGCUGGCGGUGCUGGCCGCGGCCUCCACGCUGCGCUACGGCACCUGGCGCAAGAAGGGCGUGCCGCACCUCACCCCCGUGCCGCUGUUCGGCAACGCCACGCUCUCCAUCCUGCAGCGGGAGGCCCUCUUCGGCAUGCUGGACCGCGUGUACCGCCACUUCCCCGGCCAGCCGUACGCCGGCUUCUACGCCGGCCCCAGCCCCGUCCUCCUGGUGAGGAGCGUGGAGGCCGUCAAGAACAUGCUCGUCAAGGACUUCAACGUCUUCCCCAACCACAAGCUGUCGCCCGCCCCGCAGUACGACGAGGUGUUCAGCAAGUUCCUGUUCUGCCUGCCGGGCGAACAGUGGAAGGACGUGCGCACGAAAAUGACCUCGGCGUUCACCUCGGGCCAACUCAAGGCCAUGUACCCCAGCGUCAAGGCCAUGGGCGAGGACCUCGUCAGGAACAUCAAGCAGCACAGGGACAAAAACGGCGUGAUCCCCGUUAGCAACACCUGCACGCGCUACGGCCUGGACGUGAUCGCCCGUUGCGCCUUCGGCAUCGACGGCGGGGCGCUCAAGACGCGCGAGCCCUCGCCCUACAUGAAGGCCGUGGGCGAGGCCUUCCGCUUCGGGGUGUCCGAGAGCCUCGCCUCGUUCGCGCUGCUCUUCUCGCCGCUCCUGUACCACGUGCUGCGCUACCCGCUCCUCAAGGAGUGGCGCUCCGCCAUCAUCCGGAACCUGCUGCUCCAGACCAGCGAGGUGCGCGAGAAGGCCCCGCUCGUCAACAAGGACAUCUUCGACAAGCUGCUCACGCUCAAGCAGAAUGGCUCGGUGUCGUACGACGUGUUCGAGGCCCAGGUCAUGUCCAUGCAAGUGGCGGGCUCGGAGUCCACCGCCUCGACGGUCAUGUUCGCGCUGUGGAUGCUGGCCCGGCACCCGGAGUGCCAGGAGAAGCUACGGGCCGAGCUGCGCGAGACAGUCGGCAACAACGGCGGGGAGAUCUCGUACGAAACCGGCCAGGACACCAAGUACCUCGACAUGGUGAUGAAAGAGACGCUGCGGCUGUGGCCGGUGAUGCCGUGGCUGGACCGCGUGGCCACCCAGGACUACGUGCUGCCGGACAGCGACAUCAAGAUCGAGAAGGGCACCGUCGUCAUGGUGCCGGUGUACUCCAUCCACCGCGACCCCGAGCACUACGCCGACCCGGACAAGUUCGACCCGGAGCGGUGGGCGCCGGAGAACGCCGACAACAUCAACAAGCUGGCCUUCCUCCCGUUCGGGACCGGGCCCAGGGCCUGCAUCGGACUCCGCUUCGCAGACAUGAGCGUCAAGUCCGCGCUUAGCCACAUCCUCCUCAACUUCCGCGUGUCGCUGGCGGCGGACUCCCCCGCGUCGGACGCCGAGCUCCAGAUCUGCCCGAGGUCCUUCAUCAUCACCAUCCCCAAGGACCUGCCCCUGAGCUUCGAGCCGCUCUGAGCUACAGUGUCUGGCUGGUGUAGCCUCGCUAAAAGGACAACUCAACCCGUUUUGCCACGGCAAACCCUAGCGAAGUUAUAAGGGGACGCUCUCAUACAAACCUAUGUAAGAUAAACAUAUAUCCUAGCUCUCCUACUGUCACAUGCAAUUAAAAAAAAAAACUACUGCAAA